rnacentral:rRNA from 1 species
UAGGGAAUCUUCCACAAUGGACGCAAGUCUGAUGGAGCAACGCCGCGUGAGUGAAGAAGGUCUUCGGAUCGUAAAGCUCUGUUGUUGGUGAAGAAGGAUAGAGGCAGUAACUGGUCUUUAUUUGACGGUAAUCAACCAGAAAGUCACGGCUAACUACGUGCCAGCAGCCGCGGUAAUACGUAGGUGGCAAGCGUUGUCCGGAUUUAUUGGGCGUAAAGCGAGCGCAGGCGGAAUGAUAAGUCUGAUGUGAAAGCCCACGGCUCAACCGUGGAACUGCAUCGGAAACUGUCAUUCUUGAGUGCAGAAGAGGAGAGUGGAACUCCAUGUGUAGCGGUGGAAUGCGUAGAUAUAUGGAAGAACACCAGUGGCGAAGGCGGCUCUCUGGUCUGCAACUGACGCUGAGGCUCGAAAGCAUGGGUAGCGAACAGGAUUAGAUACCCUGGUAGUCCAUGCCGUAAACGAUGAGCGCUAGGUGUUGGGGACUUUCCGGUCCUCAGUGCCGCAGCAAACGCAUUAAGCGCU